rnacentral:rRNA from 1 species
UUGGUUCAUUCGGGAACUCUGAGACAGGUGCUGCAUGGUUGUCGUCAGCUCGUGUUGUGAAAUGUUGGGUUAAGUCCCGCAACGAGCGCAACCCUUAUCCUUUGUUGCCAGCGGUUCGGCCGGGAACUCAAAGGAGACUGCCAGUGAUAAACUGGAGGAAGGUGGGGAUGACGUCAAGUCAUCAUGGCCCUUACGAGUAGGGCUACACACGUGCUACAAUGGCGCAUACAAAGAGAAGCGACCUCGCGAGAGCAAGCGGACCUCAUAAAGUGCGUCGUAGUCCGGAUUGGAGUCUGCAACUCGACUCCAUGAAGUCGGAAUCGCUAGUAAUCGUNGAUCAGAAUGCUACGGUGAAUACGUUCCCGGGUCUUGUA